rnacentral:hammerhead_ribozyme from 1 species
AUCUAGCUGACGAGUCCCGAAUAGGACGAAACGCCCCAAUAU